ACGAACGCUGGCGGCGUGCUUAACACAUGCAAGUCGAACGGAAAGGCCCUGCUUGCAGGGUGCUCGAGUGGCGAACGGGUGAGUAACACGUGGGUGAUCUGCCCCUUACUUUGGGAUAAGCCUGGGAAACUGGGUCUAAUACUGGAUAGGACCAUGCUGUAGGUGGUGUGGUGGAAAGAUUAGUUUCGGUAAGGGAUGAGCUCGCGGCCUAUCAGCUUGUUGGUGGGGUAAUGGCCUACCAAGGCGUCGACGGGUAGCCGGCCUGAGAGGGUGGACGGCCACAUUGGGACUGAGAUACGGCCCAGACUCCUGCGGGAGGCAGCAGUGGGGAAUAUUGCACAAUGGGCGCAAGCCUGAUGCAGCGACGCCGCGUGGGGGAUGACGGCCUUCGGGUUGUAAACUCCUUUCAGCCAUGACGAAGCCCUUGUGGUGACGGUAGUGGUAGAAGAAGCACCGGCUAACUACGUG
rnacentral:rRNA from 1 species